CCCUGUUCAGCCUCUCGGCGGCCAUGGCGGCGUACGGGUUGCUAGCGUCGUCCCUCCCGUGGUUGACCUGGGACACCGCAGACGACCCUCCAUAGCUCUCGGCCUGCUGGCGGGAAGACUGCGUCUCGUACUGCCGAUCGUAAAAAAAAAAAGUGUCGCGUUCUUUUCCCUCCGAGGGCUCCGUCGCCCUGAUGUGUGCAGCAGACCAACCUUGUGAAAGCCUUAGCAAGGAGACCAAACCAUUGUGGACCCAUUGGAAUAGGAAUAAAAUACAGGCCUGAUGAAAUCCCCCACUGUGAUCUUGCCAAGAACGUGUGCAGAAUGGUCGUUUUUCUUCUCUAGGGAGUUUGUCGACUGGGAAUUAAGAAGCUGUGAGGACAUGUUGGGGUCUUCGGAAAGCUGGUGACAAAGCUCUGCUCGUGGUGUGGACUUUGCCCGAUGCCCAGCAGUGGCCCACGGAGAUCCAGGAGCCAGGAAGAAUAAGGCCUACCUUUUGGUCACGUGACUGAUCAGGACAGGUGCAGAUGUGAUUAUAGGCCAUGAGCUCCAAAUGUGGCCUCUAACUUCACCAGGGACCUGCAGAACCACCCAUACAGGCUUUGGGCAGCUCCACGCUUCUAUCCUGGCAGCCCACAUCCUAAAUUACGGACCACAUUUGUGUUGGCUUGAACUGUUCCUUCAGGACUGAAGUGAGAUCUGUGUAGUAGCACUAGAGGUGGAGGGCCCUCUUAAGAUCCAGCAUUUCCAUCUGACUAACUGCACGUGGCCUUAGAAGUGCUAAUUAUGGAGGGGGCAGCUAGCUGUAGGUGCUUGUGACACAAAUAAACUUGUCAGUUCUUGAA